rnacentral:rRNA from 1 species
CUGGCUCAGGAUGAACGCUAGCUACAGGCUAACACAUGCAAGUCGAGGGGCAGCAUGAUCGAAGCUGCUUGAUGAUGGCGACCGGCGCACGGGUGAGUAACGCGUAUCCAACCUUCCCUAUAGUAGAGGAUAGCCCGGCGAAAGUCGGAUUAAUACUCUAUGUUGUUCAAUGCGGACAUCUAAGUUGAACCAAAGGUUUACCGCUAUAGGGAUGGGGGAUGCGUCUGAUUAGAUGGUAGGCGGGGUAACGGCCCACCUAGUCGACGAUCAGUAGGGGUUCUGAGAGGAAGGUCCCCCACAUUGGAACUGAGACACGGUCCAAACUCCUACGGGAGGCAGCAGUGAGGAAUAUUGGUCAAUGGGCGAGAGCCUGAACCAGCCAAGUAGCGUGCAAGGAUGACGGCCCUAUGGGUUGUAAACUGCUUUUAUAUAGGGAUAAAGUGCACUACGUGUAGUGUUUUGUAGGUACUAUAUGAAUAAGGAUCGGCUAAUUCCGUGCCAGCCGCUGC